AUUGAACGCUGGCGGCAUGCCUUACACAUGCAAGUCGAACGGUAACGCGGGGCAACCAGGCGACGAGUGGCGAACGGGUGAGUAAUACAUCGGAACGUGCCCAGUAGUGGGGGAUAGCCCGGCGAAAGCCGGAUUAAUACCGCAUACGACCUACGGGUGAAAGCAGGGGAUCGCAAGACCUUGCGCUAUUGGAGCGGCCGAUGUCAGAUUAGGUUGUUGGUGGGGUAAAAGCCUACCAAGCCGACGAUCUGUAGCUGGUCUGAGAGGACGACCAGCCACACUGGGACUGAGACACGGCCCAGACUCCUACGGGAGGCAGCAGUGGGGAAUUUUGGACAAUGGGCGCAAGCCUGAUCCAGCCAUGCCGCGUGCGGGAAGAAGGCCUGGUUGUAACGCUUUGUCAGGAGAAACG
rnacentral:rRNA from 1 species